rnacentral:rRNA from 1 species
AUAGAACGCUGGCGUCAGGCCUAACACAUGCAAGUUGAGCGGAGUGGCGGACGGGUGAGUAAUGCCUAGGAAUCUGCCUGGGAGUGGGGGAUAAUGUCCGGAAACGGGCGCUUAUAGCGCAUAAUAUCAGAUGAGCCUAGGUCGGAUGAGGUAGUUGGUGGGGUAAAGGCCUACCAAGGCGACGAUCCGUAACUGGUCUGAGAGGAUGAUCAGUCAAACUGGAACUGAGUCACGGUGAAGACUCCUACGAUGGGGACCAGGGGGGAAUAUUGGACAAUGGGCGAAAGCCUGAUGCAUCCAUGCCGCGUGUGUGAAGAAGGUCUUCAGAUUGUAAAGCACAUUAGGUUGGGCGGCGUUCCAUAUAGAAUAAGCCCCGGCUAACUUCGUGCCAGCAGCCGCGGUAAUUC